AAAAAAAAGAAGACAAGUCUUGAAAAACAAAUACAAAAAUGGUGGCUGAAAACUUAAUCGAAUUUGAGUGCAAGUCCAUCGAUGAAACGAAAGCUGCAGUGCAUGGUGGCCUCGUCGAACCUCAAAUCACUGAGUUUACUUCAAUCUUUGGCCUUCCUCCAGUGACGUCAGAUGACAAGAAACCUUCUGUCACUGCCUCAGACUUAGCAGUCCCUAUCAUCGAUUUUGCAAUGUCACGAGAAAACAUUGUGGAGAAAAUCAAAGAAGCUUCAGAGAAGUGGGGGAUAUUCCAGGUGAUCAACCAUGGUGUUCCUUCAAGCGUUCUUGAAGAGAUCAAAGAUGGAGUCGUUAGGUUUCAUGAGGAAGAUCCUGAGGUUAAAAAAACUUACUUCUCACGCGACUUCGCCAAGACAUUUAUCUACCACAAUAACUUCGAACUCUACAGUUCCUCUGCUGGUAACUGGAGAGACAGCUUCGCUUGUUACAUGGCUCCUAACCCUCCAAACCCUGAGGAGAUCGCAAUGGCUUGCAGGUAAUUAAUCCCGUUUAAUUUGAGAAUUUUUGUUAGAGUCGGCUUGUAAUCUAAAACUUAAUCAUGUUUUCGGGGCUUGCAUGUAAUUUCAUUUUACUUAAUCUCAUUUAAUUUGAGAAAUUUUGUUCUAGUCGGCUUGUAAUCUAAGUUGAUUUUAUAUAGAUUUUAAUUUGAAAAAAAAAAAACAUUUUACUUUGAGAAAUUUUAGGCUACAUUGUAAGAUAUAAUAUUGACUCUUACAUCAUUGGCUCAGAGAUGCUAUGAUCGGAUACUCGAAGCAUGUGAUGAGCUUAGGCGGUUUGAUUUUUGAACUUUUAUCAGAAGCUCUUGGUUUAAGAGCUGAUAAGCUUAAGAGCUUAGACUGCAUGAAGGGUUUGCUUAUGCUCUGCCAUUAUUACCCUCCUUGUCCACAACCUGACCUAACUUUGGGAACAAGUAAGCAUUCAGACAACACCUUUAUAACCAUGCUCCUUCAGGACCAAAUCGGUGGUCUUCAAGUCCUUCAUCAAGACUAUUGGGUCGAUGUCUCGCCUAUCCCUGGGGCUCUUGUCAUCAACAUCGGAGACUUCCUGCAGGUAAGAGCAACAUUAUCAAUGAGAACCCCGGAGGAUUUAUUAAAAAAUAAAAAAUUAAUGAAUUAUAAUCAAAUAAUUGAAAUUUAAUAGUAAAUUAAAAAAAUCAACCAAUUUAUAAUUUUCAAGUGUGUUUCUAAAAAGUUUUCAUAUGAAAUCUCUAUUUUUAUUUUUAAAAACUCACAUUUAAACUCGAUGGAAGUGUUUUAAGAAACUCCCUAAUAAAAAAAAAAAAAAAAAAAACGCGGGGAACUUGGAAUCCGCUAGAGAGUUAUCGAUCAAGACAAUCGAGUUAGCUGCAAGUUUCUCGAUGUGGAAACUGGUGGAAGCGGCUGCUGAGCAUGCAGCUCCUAUUUACCAUCAGCUUCGUGACUCGGGUGAGCUCGAUGAGCUAGAUGAUGAGCUGGUUAACUUGAUCAGAACCGCUGCUGUUCAAUUUUCUCAACAGGGUGGUUGAGUAACCGAAGCAAAAGCUAAAGAGGGCUUUGACCGUUUGAGAACUGAGAAGUCUGGACUCUUUAGUUCUGUCUUGAGAGAAGCAAGUGUCCUCGCAUCAUCGACCAAGUAUAUAGGAUCCGGGAUGGUUUUGUUAGUCAAUUAUUGGCACUAAUCCCUUUUGGAUAGGGAGCACCUGUUGUGUGAUUUUUAUGUACAAAGUAAAAUCUGUAAGCAAUACAAGGAUUUAAUGUUCAAUUUUUUUAUGGAAAUGUUUGAACAAUUUUGAAUUUAUCAUAUGUUUUAACCAUUCUUAAAACAGAUAUUGGAUAUAUAAAACCCCUGAAAGGUCAAAUCAUUUCUUAGAUAAUUAGUAUUAUGUUAAUCGUGAUCGUGAGAGCCAACUUAUUCCCAAAUUACAAAUAUAUUACAGCUUAGUUUAAAAAAACAGAUCAAAUGGUUCUGAAAUUACUUAGAAGCACAACGUUUGAAAGAUAGACAAGAAACCAGAGAGAGAUGGUUAAAGUCUUGGAGGAAGCACUUAUCAUGGGGAAGAUGCUCUUUUACCAUUUCAUCUCUAUCCUCUUUGACAGUAUGGGCUUCUUUACUGAUGCUUACGAUCUCUUCUGGUUCUCUUUGAUCUCUAAGCUCUUUGGUCGACGAUUCUAUUUCUGCAACCAGUUUUUAGUUCCUAUUAUUAAAUCAGAACUAGUCUUGUCUUCGACAGAAAAAGGAAAAUGUAAUAAAACUGUUGAUUACAUUUUGUAUUGCUCCAGUAAAGUUACGGUGCAAAUUAAAAUAUUUUAUAAAUGGUGUGUUUAUAUUGCGUAUGGAUUGUGGAAUUGUUUGGUGGGUUUAAUCUUACGAUUAGAUGUUUGUGUUAUUUGUGUAUGUAUGCUUGUGUAUAAAUAGGAGAGUUUUGAACCUGUCUUUGUAAGACAUUCACAUAAAAACAUAUACUCUUGCGUUUCGUUUCUUUGUUGCAUAUCGAAAAUAUCAAUAACGGAAUAAUAUUUUAUGUUUUUGUUGAUCUUUUAUAUGCAAGUAUCAUGAUUUGGUUUGAACGGAACUGAACUCGAACGGUGUAUAACGUAAAAGCAGGUGAAAGGUGAACAAAACGGACAUUUUGAGCUUCAGAAAACGGUCUUCGUGUGUCCCACACACCCAAAAGACCAAACUCUUUCGAAAAUUAAUUAGUAGUUUUUAAUUAAUACAAUAAUAUACUCUCUCCCUUCCUAAAAAAUAGAUUUUUUAGUGUUUUUACACAUACUAAAAAAACACAUUAAAUCACUAUAGUCAAUUUAUUUGUAAUUUUCAACAACUUUUAACCAAUAAUAAUCUAAUAAAACUAAUUAAUUUUCUUAAAUAUACAUCUUUUUGAAACAAAAUAUUUUUUCAAAAUAUGGAUCUUUUACGAACAGAGUGAGUAUAAAAUUAGAAGAAAAUCUGGGAUUAAAUCCCCUAUCUUUUUCUUAUCAUAUACCACAAAUUUUAUUUUACAAAAAAUUUACCAUAAACUUUCUUAUUUUCCUUUUACAAACUAGAUUAUUAACCCAAUCAGUCCAUUUCUCUUUUGUAUUUUGAACUUUAUUUUUGUAUUUUACAUUAUGAAAUCUAUGUUUAACUUUAUAUAUUUCCUUAUUAGUGUUUCAAAUAAUUAAGGUUGUAUUAUUGUUACUAAUCCAAUUUAAAAUAUUGAAUAUGUAAUUUGAUAUAUUUUUUAAAAAAUAAUGAGAAACUCUCUAAUUUAACAUAAAAUCUAACAUAUGAUUUUAAAAUUAAAUAAUAUUUAUUGAUAAGAGAUUUAAUGGACUAGCUGAUGGGGAUGCUCUGAGUCUUGUCUUAAAUAUUCUGCCACGCUUCUCACAUUUUGCAUGAUCUACUCCACGUUUCUCUUCUUCUGCUCCAUCUCCUUCUUCUGAUUCUUACAGUAUCUGCUACAUAAGCAAAAAAAGCCUUUGUGGCAGAUCUUAAAAAAAGUUAGUUCAAAAAAAAGAAGACAAGUCUUGAAAAACAAAUACAAAAAUGGUGGCUGAAAACUUAAUCGAAUUUGAGUGCAAGUCCAUCGAUGAAACGAAAGCUGCAGUGCAUGGUGGCCUCGUCGAACCUCAAAUCACUGAGUUUACUUCAAUCUUUGGCCUUCCUCCAGUGACGUCAGAUGACAAGAAACCUUCUGUCACUGCCUCAGACUUAGCAGUCCCUAUCAUCGAUUUUGCAAUGUCACGAGAAAACAUUGUGGAGAAAAUCAAAGAAGCUUCAGAGAAGUGGGGGAUAUUCCAGGUGAUCAACCAUGGU
rnacentral:lncRNA from 1 species